rnacentral:misc_RNA from 1 species
GGUAUUCUGGAGUCAACUAAACUAAAAACACAAAAUAUUAUACAGCUGCCCAAUUAACUUCAUCAUUGUUUGACGAGAGAAAUAUUUAUUCUUCUAUUUCAAUAUAAACUAAUCCUCAAUAAAAUAAAAACAAACUUCUCAGAGAACAAUAAGACAUCAAAAUGAUACAAUAGAACUUUUUAAGGAUCACUAUCAGCCUGUGAAGUAAUUCUGGCGUAGUUUUUACAUUUUUUGUUUGUUUUAUUUAUAUUCUUUCAGAAGGAACCCUCAUCCUCAUCCCUGUACCCAACUUUCCCUUCUCUCAAUUAUCUCUUUCAGUUUGAAAGAAGGGAGGAAAAAGAAG